UUCUCUUUUGAGCACAUACAGCCCACAUCUGCCUGUCAGCAGUCCUGACGGAUGAAGACAUGUGACCUGUGUGCGGCUCUCAUAGAUGAACUUCCAAAUGUGAGAAGCCAUUUCAGGAGGUGCUUUGGAGCAGGAUUAAGAUGGGUCCCUGCCACAGCAGUUAAAGCCAGACGUCCUAAACAUGCAAGGACCAAACAACAUCUGUAAACCAGUAAACCAAGGCCAACAGGGAAAGAGCAACAUCGGAAGGGUGCAGGAGGCCCAGCAACCAAGCAGUCAGUAGAGCAGAGAUGGAUAACAUCAUCUGUGUGUCCCGAAGGCAAAUGUUCAGCAGCCUUCCAAUUGUGCCUUGCUGUUUCCCUCAGUCUGCCUCUUGCCCUGGUUCCCCAAACCCAGCCUUGAAAAUAUCCAGUUACAAAGGAUGAAAUUGAAAUCCACCUUUGCAUCCACUAUCACAUAUUGGUUCACAACUCCAUUCCAAUCCCCUGUAGCUACCCUCCAGCAUGUUGGAUGAUGGGACCUGAAAGACUAGAAGAUUCACUGAGCUCAGUGUCCCUAUGUAUCCCAACUUCCACCAAGCAGACCUCACUCUGCUGUGAAAUAACUUCUUCAGGAAAGCAAUAUCAAACAGAGUAGCAACCUCCAGUCAUGAUGGCUGCCUAGGUAAACAUAGCUCACCUCCUCACACAACCACAUCAAAACUACAACAAAAAUAUAGAACAACCAUCACUCAGACAGACAGAAAUCAAGCUGAAUAAAAGUCUAACAACUAUGGAAUUAAAGAAACCAAAUCCAUCCAGACUAGUAGGGGGAGCAGAGACGUGGAACAGGCUCUUCUCCAACCCCAUGUGGUAUAUUUGGGAGGGAUAUCUCAGAAGUGGAGAAAUCCAGCCCUACACCAGGCCCCCCAACCCAUGGUUCCAGUGUCAGGAAGAUAAGUCUCCAUAACUUCUGGCUAUAAACACCAGAGAUGACUGAGUCAAUGAAAGAAACUUCUGGAGUCCCAAGCACUUUGCUGUACAAAACCGAUACAUGACUUACUCAGAUACACUCCCUCUGGGCUCUAGUACCAGGAUAGCACCUUGAAAGGCACCAGUGGCAUAUAGGGAGGUACUGAAGUACCUGGCAUCAAGUUGGGAGCUGGGGACAGCUUUCCCCAGACAGAAAGGUGACCAGUUGCCAUUGUGCCUUUUCUGAACCUUCGCUGCACAGAGCUAUAGAGCUGAGAGGUGAGUUCAAUAUCUCAGACUCCAUCAACCUGGCUAACAUUGCUUACCCUGCCCUGGAGAUCCCCUGAAGCUCUGUCCCACCCA